rnacentral:rRNA from 1 species
CCUACGGGAGGCAGCAGUGGGGGAUAUUGCACAAUGGGCGCAAGUCUGAUGCAGCGACGUCGCGUGAGCGAAGAAGUAUCUCGGUAUGUAAAGCUCUAUUAGUAGGGAAGUAAAUGACGGUACCUGACUAAGAAGCUCCGGCUAAAUCCGUGACAGCAGCCGCGGUACUACGUAUGGAGCAAGCGUUAUCCGGAGUUACUGGGUGUAAAGGGAGCGUAGGCGGCUUUGUAAGUCUGAUGUGAAAAUUUGAGGCUCAACCCCAAAGUUGCAUUGGAAACUGGAAGGCUUGAGUGCCGGAGAGGCAGGCGGAAUUCGUGGUGUAGCGGUGAAAUGCGUAGAUAUUAGGAAGAACACCAGUGGCGAAGGCAGCCUGCUGGACGGUAACUGACGCUGAGGCUCGAAAGCGUGGGGAGCAAACAGGAUUAGAUACCCGUGUAGUC